GGCUAGGUGUCUAGGAGCAGACACGCCUCUCUGCUUCUCUGCGUGUAUUUGGCACCCUCUUGUGGCAACUGCGAGCAGACACCACUGAGAGACGCGAGUGAGAGGGAAACCAGAGCAGGCUCAGGGCAAACACAUUUGGAAACAGAGCUCCGGAUGAAAUGGCCUGCCCUACUGUGGAAAAUUCCUGCAACUCGGAACGCCCAUGUAUGAAAGUUGCUGCGGUCUUGUCCUGAGAAGAAUCUUCUUUAUUGUCGUGCUGAACCAACUUCAAUUACACACACCCUGAGCCGGACUGUCAAGAAAACCACAUGGGAUAUGGAGUGUCUGCAUGAUGGUGGUUUAGCUACUCAUCCCUGUCAUGGCUUAAGGAAUCAAGGUCUAAGAACCAGCUGGGACUCUGCAAUCUGUAACUGGAGGACACAAGGGACACCUAUGAUUUGGGUAAUG
rnacentral:lncRNA from 1 species